GGUUAAGCGACUAAGCGUACACGGUGGAUGCCCUGGCAGUCAGAGGCGAUGAAGGACGUGCUAAUCUGCGAAAAGCGUCGGUAAGGUGAUAUGAACCGUUAUAGCCGGCGAUGUCCGAAUGGGGAAACCCAGUGCAAUUCGUUGCACUAUCGUUUGAUGAAUACAUAGUCAAACGAGGCGAACCGGGGGAACUGAAACAUCUAAGUACCCCGAGGAAAAGAAAUCAACCGAGAUUCCCCCAGUAGCGGCGAGCGAACGGGGAGCAGCCCGGAGUCUGAAUCAGCUUGUGUGUUAGUGGAAGCGUCUGGAAAGUCGCAGGGUACAGGGUGAUACUCCCGUACACUAAAAUGCACAGGUUGUGAACUCGAAGAGUAGGGCGGGACACGUGGUAUCCUGUCUGAAUAUGGGGGGACCAUCCUCCAAGGCUAAAUACUCCUGACUGACCGAUAGUGAACCAGUACCGUGAGGGAAAGGCGAAAAGAACCCCGGCGAGGGGAGUGAAAAAGAACCUGAAACCGUGUACGUACAAGCAGUAGGAGCCCACUUGUUGGGUGACUGCGUACCUUUUGUAUAAUGGGUCAGCGACUUAUAUUCUGUAGCAAGGUUAACCGUAUAGGGGAGCCGCAGGGAAACCGAGUCUUAACUGGGCGUUAAGUUGCAGGGUAUAGACCCGAAACCCGGUGAUCUAGCCAUGGGCAGGUUGAAGGUUGGGUAACACUAACUGGAGGACCGAACCGACUAAUGUUGAAAAAUUAGCGGAUGACUUGUGGCUGGGGGUGAAAGGCCAAUCAAACCGGGAGAUAGCUGGUUCUCCCCGAAAGCUAUUUAGGUAGCGCCUCGUGAACUCAUCUUCGGGGGUAGAGCACUGUUUCGGCUAGGGGGUCAUCCCGACUUACCAACCCGAUGCAAACUACGAAUACCGAAGAAUGUUAUCACGGGAGACACACGGCGGGUGCUAACGUCCGUCGUGAAGAGGGAAACAACCCAGACCGCCAGCUAAGGUCCCAAAGUCAUGGUUAAGUGGGAAACGAUGUGGGAAGGCCCAGACAGCCAGGAUGUUGGCUUAGAAGCAGCCAUCAUUUAAAGAAAGCGUAAUAGCUCACUGGUCGAGUCGGCCUGCGCGGAAGAUGUAACGGGGCUAAACCAUGCACCGAAGCUGCGGCAGCGACGCUUAUGCGUUGUUGGGUAGGGGAGCGUUCUGUAAGCCGUUGAAGGUGGCCUGUGAGGGUUGCUGGAGGUAUCAGAAGUGCGAAUGCUGACAUAAGUAACGAUAAUGCGGGUGAAAAACCCGCACGCCGGAAGACCAAGGGUUCCUGUCCAACGUUAAUCGGGGCAGGGUGAGUCGACCCCUAAGGCGAGGCCGAAAGGCGUAGUCGAUGGGAAACAGGUUAAUAUUCCUGUACUCGGUGUUACUGCGAAGGGGGGACGGAGAAGGCUAUGUUGGCCGGGCGACGGUUGUCCCGGUUUAAGCAUGUAGGCGGAUGUUCCAGGUAAAUCCGGAACGUUACUAACGCUGAGGUGUGAUGACGAGGCACUACGGUGCUGAAGUGACAAAUGCCCUGCUUCCAGGAAAAGCCUCUAAGCAUCAGGUAACAUCAAAUCGUACCCCAAACCGACACAGGUGGUCAGGUAGAGAAUACCAAGGCGCUUGAGAGAACUCGGGUGAAGGAACUAGGCAAAAUGGUGCCGUAACUUCGGGAGAAGGCACGCUGAUGGUAAGUGAAGUGACUUGCUCAUGGAGCUGAAAUCAGUCGAAGAUACCAGCUGGCUGCAACUGUUUAUUAAAAACACAGCACUGUGCAAACACGAAAGUGGACGUAUACGGUGUGACGCCUGCCCGGUGCCGGAAGGUUAAUUGAUGGGGUUAUCCGUAAGGAGAAGCUCUUGAUCGAAGCCCCGGUAAACGGCGGCCGUAACUAUAACGGUCCUAAGGUAGCGAAAUUCCUUGUCGGGUAAGUUCCGACCUGCACGAAUGGCGUAAUGAUGGCCAGGCUGUCUCCACCCGAGACUCAGUGAAAUUGAACUCGCUGUGAAGAUGCAGUGUACCCGCGGCAAGACGGAAAGACCCCGUGAACCUUUACUAUAGCUUGACACUGAACACUGGUCCUUGAUGUGUAGGAUAGGUGGGAGGCUUUGAAGUGUGGACGCCAGUCUGCAUGGAGCCAUCCUUGAAAUACCACCCUUUAAUGGCUGGUGUUCUAACGUGGGCCCGUAAUCCGGGUUGCGGACAGUGUCUGGUGGGUAGUUUGACUGGGGCGGUCUCCUCCUAAAGAGUAACGGAGGAGCACGAAGGUCAGCUAAUCCUGGUCGGACAUCAGGAGGUUAGUGCAAUGGCAUAAGCUGGCUUGACUGCGAGCGUGACGGCGCGAGCAGGUGCGAAAGCAGGUCAUAGUGAUCCGGUGGUUCUGAAUGGAAGGGCCAUCGCUCAACGGAUAAAAGGUACUCCGGGGAUAACAGGCUGAUACCGCCCAAGAGUUCAUAUCGACGGCGGUGUUUGGCACCUCGAUGUCGGCUCAUCACAUCCUGGGGCUGAAGUAGGUCCCAAGGGUAUGGCUGUUCGCCAUUUAAAGUGGUACGCGAGCUGGGUUUAGAACGUCGUGAGACAGUUCGGUCCCUAUCUGCCGUGGGCGCUGGAGAAUUGAGGGGGGCUGCUCCUAGUACGAGAGGACCGGAGUGGACGCAUCACUGGUGUUCGGGUUGUCAUGCCAAUGGCAUUGCCCGGUAGCUAAAUGCGGAAGAGAUAAGUGCUGAAAGCAUCUAAGCACGAAACUUGCCCCGAGAUGAGUUCUCCCUGACUCCUUGAGAGUCCUGAAGGAACGUUGAAGACGACGACGUUGAUAGGCCGGGUGUGUAAGCGCAGCGAUGCGUUGAGCUAACCGGUACUAAUGAACCGUGAGGCUUAACCUU
rnacentral:rRNA from 1 species